rnacentral:rRNA from 1 species
UACGUAGGGUGCAAGCGUUAAUCGGAAUUACUGGGCGUAAAGCGUGCGCAGGCGGUUUUGUAAGUCUGUCGUGAAAUCCCCCGGGCUCAACCUGGGAAUUGCGAUGGAGACUGCAAGGCUAGAAUCUGGCAGAGGGGGGUAGAAUUCCACGUGUGAGCAGUUGAAAUGCGUAGAGAUGCGGAGGAACACCGAUGGCGAAGGCAGCCCCCUGGGCUGACACUGGACGCUCAGGCACGAAAGCGUGGGGAGC